rnacentral:rRNA from 1 species
CUCACCAGCCAUAUCACCCUGUAGCCCAAGACUGGUUGCCCACUGAAGCUAAGCAGGGCUGAGCCUGGUCAGUACCUGGAUGGGAGACCUCCUGGGAAAACUAGGUUGCUGCUGGAA